CAGUGUCAUUUAAACUUGCUGUAAUUUGCAGCCCCAAAAAAGUUAUAAAUCUUUUCCUUAAAGGACCUUUUUACUUUGACUUUACUUGAAAGAAUUAAGUUCAAUACCAUAUUUGUAUCCCACAUCUGACACCAUGACUCAAGCUUACCAGGGAC